CUCAGAUCUUCUCAGUUUCUAGCCGAUACUACAUAAAAAAUCAUGUAGUAACGGUAACUGAGUUACUGAAUAUAAAAAAUAACGCGUUAGAUUACUAUUUACCGCCGAUAGUAACGGCGUUACCGUAACACGCGUUAGUCCCAACACUGAUGCCAAGCAUCAUAUUUGGAGGAAACCAGGCACUGCUCCUCAUCAAUACCAUUCCUACAGUGAAGCAUUGUGGUGGCAGCAUCAUGCUGUGGGGAUGUUUUUUAGCUGCAGGAACUGGCAGACUAGUCAGGAUAGAGGAAAAGAUGAUUGCAGCAAUGUACAGAGACAUCCUGGAUGAAAUCCUGCUUCAGAGUGCUCUUGAAGACUGGAGCGACGGUUCAUCUUUCAGCAGGACAACGACCCUAAGUACACAGCCAAGAAAUCAAAGGAAUGGCUUCAGAACAACUCUGUAAAUGUCCUUGAGCCAGAGCCCAGACUUGAAUUUGAUUCUCCAGCACCCCUGCGACCCCGGACGGGGCAAGCGGUAGAAAAUGGAUGGAUGGAUCUCUGGAGAGAUCUGAAAAUGGCUGUGCACCGACGCUUCCCAUCCAACCUGAUGGCGCUUGAGAGGUGUUGCAAAGCGGAAUAGACAUAACUGCCCGACGAUAGGUGUGCCAAGCUUGUGGCAUCGUAUUCAAAAAGACUCGAGUGCCUGGAAUUCGCAUGGCUGCGGUUGUUGUGACCCCAAGAUGCAGGAACCAGGAGAUCAAUGUUCAGAUUGAUCAUUUUUUUCAAGCUUCAUGUGGCAGCCUCCUAAUGUUAAGCGUUACCAAGCUCCUUGUGGCAGCCUAGUGAUUGAUUAGGAUUGUGGCAGUGUAAAGAAUGCAGUUUGGAACUAGCGAGCAGAGCCAGUUGAGUACACACUAGAUGACCAGUGGAAUAAGGCCAAGGCAAAGCUGCAGCCAACUUCAAGAAAACGACAAAGGCUGAAGUUUACUACAUACCACUGCACCCAAAAGGCAAAACCAC